CAGAACAAAAUUAAAACACCCCAUAUUAAUAAUGGUUAAGGCAUCUCGGUAAUUAGGCCUAAGAGUCAACGUGCACACACACAUAUACACACAUACUGUACAUUGACGAGACCACAGAUGAGCCAACACAUGGUGAAUCAUGAAUACACCUGCACACAUAAACAGACACAUGGACAUUGAACUUUUUUUAAGAACUUGUGGAAAUGUCUGGACUGGGAUUCAAUAUUAAAACAUUUUUAGCUAAUUAAGUUUGAAUUAAUUCCACAUCUUAUGCCUUUUAUAAUCAGUUAAAGACCUAUUUUUGCUGUUUAAAAAAAAACUAACUAUCGGAUCCAGGAGGAAAACCAUAAUGCAAAACACU